UUGAACUUUAUUUGUACACAUUAAUAACGUAUUGUCAAACAGACGUAUGUAGUGAGCAAGUAAUGGACAGCCCUUAAUGAGUCAUUACAAGAACAGUUUUGUAAUGAGUACAUGUACAUGGACAGCUUGUUUAAUAAUUACAUUAACAGCAUGGGAAAUAAUUAAACGUACAGCUUUUGAAUUGCUUACUUGAAUUGAUUACAAAAAUAUUGUGUGUAACAAGUACAUCAAAAGCAUGUGUUGUAAGUACAUGCAAGUUUAUGUGAUGUGAACUUGUGGUAUAAGCGUAUGACCAGCUUGUAUUUGGAGCAUUUAACAUUAUACAAGAAUACAACUGUUGAAACUAUCGCAGAAAUUAUUUUUUUUAACCUUCAAAUUACAGUGUUAAUAGUAAAAUCAUUUCGCCCAUUCAUAUGAUAUCUAGUAGUUGGUGAACAUUUUCAAGACUAAAUGUAGAUUCAAUAGAAGUUCAUGCACAUUAAAUUAGAACAACAGUAUCUUUGAAAAGUCAAUCUACUUUUCUUAGUCUAUCUAUUAGCUAGUCCACCCACGCACAGUGACCUGUUUAAUUUCCGACUGAAUGAUGCGUUCAACUGUGAAAUGAAGUUAAACCCAGUUUCAAACAUUUGAAACUAAUUUUUUUCAAAGGUCAUGGAAUCAAUGGAUAGUUUCACUAGGUUUGUCAAAGAUUAAUAAACAAACAAAAAUAGUAAUUGAAAAGACUUAAUUUCCUUCCAUGUGGUUCGUUUUAUUAUUCGGGAAAUAUAGGAAGUCGGAAAAUCCCAAGAAUUUUCCAAAGUAUUAAUACUUCUGGCAAAAAACCGUUAGGUUCAAAUCAGCUAUAAAAUAGGAAAGAAUUUAAAUCUUUGACCAUUUUGUCAAUCUAUAUUUCUGAAUUAAUAUCAAACAUGGGAAUUGUGUAUAUUUUUUUAUACAUUAAAAAAAAAUUAUCGUAAUACUAAACAGAGGGCAGCGGGUAUUGAAACACAGCGCGUGACGACAUUACAAGUUCCAGUUGAACUAUUAUCAAAGUUCCCCAUCAACAUGUUCCCAGUUUUCUUGAUGAUGAACUAAUGAGUAGUAGGAACAUCUGAAAUAUGAGACAUAUUUAGGAAAGACAGGCUGUCUCGGGAAAUGCUAGAUAGAGCUGCUUACAAACAAGUCUUUUCAAUAGGUGUGAAUGUGACACUGUGCAUCUCUGGGGACACAGAGAAUCAAUUCAAAAUGUAACAAAAAGAAAUAUUUCUUGUUUGUAGAUGACAAGGGAGCUCACCAAAAAAUCAAUUUCCUUGUGUGUCUGUUGGGUUUUCAUGCAAGUCCGAAAGUGAGAAGAAACACUCGACAACUUCAACAUGCAGAGAAGAACGGAUAGAAGAAGGCUAUUCAAAAGUACAGUCCAUUACACAGACAGCCCGUUACAUUACCAGAAGUGUUUGACCAGUAACUGCACAAUAAGGUCAACUCAGAAUCCAGCUAGAUAGGCAUCGAUCUGAAAGCACACCUUCUCGGUUGUAAUUUCGUUGAGAUUAUACCAACAACUAUCUGGAAUUUCACUGUAAAGCAGCUCUAAGUAUCGAUGUUACACGACUGAGAUCUCUUGCUAGCAGCAGGAAGUUAGCCUAAGGGUGUGGCAAGUUUCACUCAAGCAGCGGCUCCCAAAAAGUCUAAAAGUGUGAGACACCAAGAAACACAAAUGGCAUAUACAUAGAACAUAGUCUUGAUCUUAUCUUUCAUUUUCUUACGCACUACAAGAUAAAACAAUGCGUCUUAUGAAACUCACCAGUUUAUGGUUAGGAAAGAAAUAAUUCGAUCUUUGGGAAAUGUCCAAGGUUGAGACUCCCAGGUGUGCACAGGGUGGAUUUAAAAGGGGGGGGGUGGCAGGCGGGGCUACAGCCCAGGAGACUCCACAAGAAAAGGGCAUCCACAAAGAGAUAAAAAUAUAUCCAAAUUUAAACUGUUGUUUUUUUCUUCGUAGCAUAUUUUGUUCAAUUCUAUUUAACGUCUGGCAAACAAAGUCACGUUUCAAAAGUAUACGCUUUGAGCAUGCUCGGAACAAGCAAUACAGCUUCAGAGUUACGACAGUUCGUCUACCUAGUGCCUUACCCUCCACAAACUAAAAACUAUACACUUUUUCAUAUUAAAAUAUUCAUACUAAAUAUUUUGUUUUGAAAGAAAAGUAAGAUUAAAUUUAAAAGAACUCCCUUUCUUCUAAAAUAUUGCAUACUUUUAAAUGUUAAUUCAUAAACGGAUAUUUAUUAAAGCUUUCGAAAAAAUUGUAGGGGCCUCCUCAAAAAAUCCUGCACUGAGGCCUCCCCACACUUAAAUCCGGCCCUCAAUGUGACUUCCUGAAAGAAACUCGUUCAUGUAUACUUAUUGCAGUCCAGGUGUUCACUCUAAGUUAUUUCAUAAUAAAAACAAAAUAAUUAACCUUACUCUCCCAUUUCUCGCUGUAUCACUGCGUACAAAAAAAAAAGUUACACAAGUGACGACUGGAAAGUAAAUAUUACUCAAGGGCGUGACGUCACGUGAUAAUUCUCAUUUGUGGAUCUCACAUUUAAAAUGUCCAUACCCAAGAUGCCAUGACUCGUUCAAUUCGUUCUCUGAUGACUAUUUUAUUUGUUAAUUGGCUGCUUCCCAAGUUCUAGUGAUUCUUGUAUUGUGGUAAUUGGACUAGCGUCUUCCCACUGUCUAGAUUCUAGCUUAUUUGACAAUGAUUUUUUAUACUGUCUAGAUUCUUGUGUUAAUUGACUAAGAAGAACUUCAUCUGCUCUCGUUUUCAAUUCGAUUAUAAAAAAGUCAUCUUAUUGGUUAUAUUGCAGACAAAACUGACCAACGCUCCUGUCACAUGCAUUAAAUGAGCACAAGGACUUAUUACAAUCGAAUCUCGAGCUAGAGAACACGUCCACCAAGGGCCUAUCACUUGGUUCAGCGUCUCAGCUACAAUCAAAAGUAGUGUUGAUUCACACAAAUGCACACCGAAGCGUAGAAGCAAACGUCAAACAGUCACGUGGUCUGUGACACUACAAAACGACACAGAAGUAUUGGUUGACCUGACUGGGUGUAGCUACAGAAAGAUGUCAUAAACCUGGACAGAUUCAGGCAAGUUCAAGACCAAACUCCAGCUAAGAAUAAAUGGCGCGAAACAAUUUCACAAGAUGAAUCUAAGAUUCUUCCUCGGUGUUAUGGAGUGUUUCUAUGGUGACACUUUGAAGAUGUUAGCGAUUGGUCGUGAAUGAUGCAGGAGAGGUGGCAUUGUCGUUAGCGGGCUUGGUGAGCACAGACGACUCCAUAAGUUGAGUUCCCCAGACACUCCUACGGCACUCUGACUUUGUACUUUUUCGGAACGGAAAACAGCAAAUGUGCACUGCAGGAAUCAUCUAAUGCCCCAAUGCUGGUUGAUAAUAAUGACCUACAUGUGUAGAGAAACCAAGUGACGUAUGACCUUGUAAGUGACCUUGCACCUCUGAAUUUAAAAAGUACAUGUUGAAAGUUGAACAAGACAAGUACAAAUAAAACAAUGACUAUAUAAUAUGUUAGAUAAUAUAUAAACACAAUAAAGACAUGCCAAAAAUAUCAAAAAAGCAUACACCAAUAAACUGAUGUAUUUAUGAGAUGAAGUGAGGGCUUAAAGUGAAGCCUUCACAGCGCAGUUACACGAUGACUAAGGAAUGAAAUAUUUGGGGAUAAAAUGACCCGGGAUGCAAUGAAUAUGAACCAAGAACCUAUGAUGCAAGGUAAUAGUUUAAACCAUGCCGAUAUGAACCAAGAAUGUAGUGAUCUUAUGAUGCAAGCUAAUUGUUUAAACCAUGACGAUAUGAACCAAGAAUGUAGUGAUCUUAUGAUGCAAGCUAAUUGUUUAAACCAUGAUGAUAUGAACCAAGAAUGUAGUGAUCUUAUGAUGCAAGCUAAUUGUUUAAACCAUGACGAUAUGAACCAAGAAUGUAGUGAUCUUAUGAUGCAAGCUAAUAGUUUAAACCAUGACGAUAUGAACCAAGAAUGUAGUGAUCUUAUGAUGCAAGCUAAUUGUUUAAACCAUGACGAUAUGAACCAAGAAUGUAGUGAUCUUAUGAUGCAAGCUAAUUGUUUAAACCAUGACGGUAUGAACAUAGAUAACGUGCAUUGUCUAGUCUCUUUGAACUUUAGUGUUAGAUCUCUAUAGUAUACAAUAAUUGACAUUAACAUGAAACACAAAUCAAUACUUAGUCAAUUAUUUUAUUGAAAAUGUGUAUUAUAAAAUGGUUGUAAAAGAUGCAAUAUAGACAACUUAGUUAUCUUGAUGUCUUGUUUAUAUCCUUUCAAAAUCUACUCAGUAUAGUUUGUAGUUUUUAUACAAUGACUAAUUGCUAAAUUGUAAUAUACUUUUAAAAAAACAUUUUAAAAAUUCUACUAAAAAUUAGAAAUAUUAAUCCAAUAAUAUAUCAAACACAGUAUAUAAUUUUUUUUAUCUUAGAUCAUAUUAAAGUAUAAUACAGAGCUUGUAAAUAAUUCUUAUAUAAAUAUAAUAUCAUGUAGUACUACACUAUUACAGUCUUUACCUUCUGCUUAGAAACAAAAAUUAUUUUAAUUAAAUGUGUUCAUGGUGAUACAGCAUUGAGAUUGAUUUUUUAAAUUCGACAGGAUUACGUAAGAAGGAAUACAUUCUUAAAUAAGUAUUCAUGAAAUUAAUAUAUCGAAUUGUCUUUUUAAUUAACAAGUACUACCAACCCGAUGAUAUAUUCCAAGAAAUUGUUAUUGGAGACUUUAAUCUAAAUUGGAAAAACUAUCAACAGCUAACUUUGUUUGUUGUCAGAGUACUGUUGAUAAGCUUUUUUACCCAAAGCCUAUAAUUCGUGUAUAUUUUUAGCAGAAUUAAAUUAAGAUCUUCAGUUUGUAGCUUCAUUAUUUGGCUAUUUACCUAAGGUCCUGCUUAAUGAUGUCAUUAAUGAUGUUCUAAAAGUAGUCUAAACAAAAUAAACUUACAUUAUUUUAAAAA